CCUACGGGAGGCAGCAGUGAGGAAUAUUGGUCAAUGGGCGGAAGCCUGAACCAGCCAAGUAGCGUGCGGGAUGAAGGCCCUACGGGUCGUAAACCGCUGUUGCGCGGGGAUAACACCCACCACUUGUGGAGGUCUGCAGAUACCGUGCGAAUAAGGGCCGGCUAAUUCCGUGCCAGCAGCCGCGGUAAUACGGAAGUCCCGAGCGUUAUCCGGAUUCAUUGGGCUUAAAGGUCGCGUGGGCGGGCGUUCAAGUCAGCUGUAAACUAGCGCGGCUCAACCGCGCCCCGCAGUUGAAACGGGACGCCUUGAGUUCACAACAGGCAGGCGGAAUUCGUGGUGUAGCGGUGAAAUGCUUAGAUAUGACGAAGAACCCCGAUUGCGAAGGCAGCUUGCUGCAGCGGAACUGACGCUGAUGCUCGAAAGCGCGGGGAUCGAACAGGAUUAGAUACCCCAGUAGUC
rnacentral:rRNA from 1 species